GACGAACGCUGGCGGCGUGCCUAAUACAUGCAAGUAGGACGCAGUUGCGAACGGGUGAGUAGCGCGUAGGUAACUACCUAUUAGAGGGGUAUAACUAUUGGCAACGAUAGCUUAUACCGCCUACUAGUAGUUGGACCUGCGUUGUAUUAGGUAGUAGGUCGGGUAAUGGCCUACCUAGGCAACGAUACAUAGCCGACCCGGGAGGGUGAGUGGCCACAACGGGAAUGGGGAAAGGGCCAGACUCCUACGGGGGGCAGCAGGAGGGAAUCUUCGGCAAUGGGGGGAACCCUGGCCGAGCAAAGCCGCGUGAGUGAAGAAGGGUUUCGGAUCGGAAAGCUCUGUUGUUAAGGAAGCGGUACUUAACCAGAAAGGGACGGCUAACUACGUGCCAGCAGCCGCGGUAAUUC
rnacentral:rRNA from 1 species